ACCCAUUAGAGAUAAAAUAAGUACUUCCGAGCUUCCUAGCCCUAGGACAUGUUCAUAAUCACUGGCUGCUGAGAUGUACAAGGCAGUAGAAGAUGCGGGGGCGAUGGAUGUAUGUUUUAUGAUAACCCAACUGGUGACAUUUUCUUUAGAGGACCUCAACGUUUACUCAGUGCUGUGAGCAGAUAUGGGAAGCGAGGGGAACAUUAAUUUUCAUUCUUUAUAAAGUUGUUGCUUUUGUAUUAAAACGAUAACGCGGUUACAAUCUAAUAAAUUAAAUAUAGCAGAUUGUGUGUCAGUUCUUGUCCUAUUGGAUGAGCUCCAAUGAUUUGAUUUGCAUCAUUUCUGCUCUAUUAUGGCUUUAAAGCUGGGGUGUAAUUUUUCUGCUUUGUCUCUUUAUAAUUGACA
rnacentral:misc_RNA from 1 species